rnacentral:rRNA from 1 species
GAUGAACGCUGGCGGCGUGCCUAACACAUGCAAGUCGAACGAAGCACUUCGAUUUCUUCGGAAUGAAAAAGUGACUGAGUGGCGGACGGGUGAGUAACGCGUGGGUAACCUGCCUCAUACAGGGGGAUAACAGUUAGAAAUGACUGCUAAUACCGCAUAAGCGCACAGUAUCGCAUGAUACAGUGUGAAAAACUCUGGUGGUAUGAGAUGGACCCGCGUCUGAUUAGCUAGUUGGUGGGUAACGGCCUACCAAGGCAACGAUCAGUAGCCGGCCUGAGAGGGUGAACGGCCACAUUGGGACUGAGACACGGCCCAAAACUCCUACGGGAGGCAGCAGUGGGGAAUAUUGCACAAUGGGGGAAACCCUGAUGCAGCGACGCCGCGUGAGUG